AUUAGGACUGGUGAGAGUUUUGGAAGAAAAAUGUAUUAAGGAAUAAGGAUUCUACAAGCAAUAAUUAGAUACUAGUAUAGUAGCCCGUACGAUGCGACGGAUAGAGAAUUGGAGAAAAAAUAAAAGACGAUGACAAAGGAGAGAAAACAGUAAUAAAAGAAAUGAUGAUAAAAGGUGAGAUUCAUCUUGCCGAUGAAAGAGAUUGAAGAAAGAUGAAGAAGAACAGUUCGGCUCAAUAUAGAGGUGUGGCUCAGUUCGGUUCAAGCCAAAAAAAAAAAGGUUGAUCUGGUUCGAUUCAAGUAAAGAAAGAGAGAAAUCAAGUUCAUUUCACGCAAAGAAAGAGAAAAAUAUGUAGAAAACUUGAGCCGGUUCGAGAGAGCCCAUACUUAACAAUAAUCAAGUCGGUUUAAGCAAAGAAAGAGAAAAAUUCGAUCUGAUUCAAGCAAAAAAAGAAGAAAACAUGUGGAGAAUCUGAGCCCAUUCUAAUUAAAGCCCACACUAUUGCCAUGUGGCAAAUUUAAGAAAAAUAAUGUAUAGGUAUAGGUAUAGGUAUAGAGGUACAGAUAUAAAUCAGUAUUUUGGAUGGGUGAUUCGGUCCAACAAGUUAUUAAAUUCUAGUAGGCUGGAUCAUUAUAAUGCUAAUCCCUUCGGAACGCAUUUUCAAUUCCAAUUCCAAUUGCGAACCAAGCAUUCAGGGGAUCAGGAGAAUCCUUUUAUCUUCACAUAAUAAUAGAGUAUUAAUGGUGGGUGGUUGAGGGAGAGAGGUUGGUGGGUUGGUGUGCUUUAACAAUCAAGGAUAUAUUUUCUACCUGCAGUGAGUUAGAUAUUGACAUUUAAACCUGCGAUCUGCAUUGAGUUUGAAAUUUAGCUUAGGACGUGUUUGGUUCCCGAAAAUUUUAAAAAAUAUUUUUUCUAGAAAAAUUCUUUCUUUUUUAAGACUUCAUAGAAGAGUCUUCUUUUUGUUUUCGGAAUUUUUUUUUUUUACCAAGAAACUGAAUACUAUGGAAAGAUUCUUUUUUUAGAGAUUGAUACUCAAAUCCUUGGGGGAUUAAAUUAGCGAUUUGGAUCUCGUCCAAUUUGGAGCUAAUCUCUAUACAUAUUUUAUUUUCGGUGAUACUAAUGCGUCACAAAACGUAAUUCUUGCAUCUCCACUUAAAGAGUAAGGCAAUCCUACCUCAAGUAAAGAAUCUCCACGUAAUAGAAACCGAAACAAACAUUCGCCAUCCUAGUUCAGUGAUUGUUAUCAAAUUGUUUUUUUUUUUUUUUUUUUUUUGAGAGAUAGAUAGCACGCUACCUGCUUCGUUUAUUUCAUUUAGAAAUAAACUUAGCUGGAAAUGUGAAUCAACUAGGAUUCGAACUUAGAUCUCGGGUACCAACCAUCAAGCUCUUUGCCACUUGCUCUAGGGACGAUCGGUUAUUGUUAUCGAAUUGUUAUUCUAAAGAUCGCAUUCCUACUUGUACUUUUACUUAAAGAGAUUUGUACCUCCAACUUUUUGAGUAUUAGAAUAGUAUAUGUAGAAAGGAUAGGAUAGGAGUCUAGGAGCAAACUUGAAUACUAUAUGAAUGAAGCUGAUAGCUACGUUUUUCUCAAAAAAAAAAAAAAAAAAGAAUCUUUCAAGUGUAGAAAUAGAAAGGUUAAAUCAUAUAUCUUGUUUCUAAAAGUAAUAUUCUACAAUAAUAAUAAAAGCUUUGCUAAGUUUCUCAAUGCUUUUUUUAAAAAAAUAAGCUUUAUUCCGAAAAGUUUAACUAUUCAUUUUAUUAAAUUAUAAGUUUUAAUUCAUGUCUUUUGUAUAUAUUUGGAGGCCAUUUUCACCAAUAAAAUCAACGUCCGGUGAUUGAAUGAGCCAAUUUGACGUAUUUAUAGAAGUUUAGAUAGCAUUAAUUUAUUUUAAAAGUGAACUUUGAUAAAAGUUUACGAACUACCGAUGCGAUUAAUCCUUUCGAAAAUAGAGAGGUAAGUUUUAGGAGACGACAAAAUAAUACUCAGAGCCUAAGAUUCCGAUAGCGAGCUCAGGUUGAUGCUACAAUGCCAUAAUUUAUCUCUUUAAGAAGAUUAGGUUGGAAUUUACUAGAGAGUGAGGGGGAGCGCGAAAGCAAUGUCAUAGUAAAAAUUUUAUAAUUUAGUUUAGCUUGAUAAUGGACAAGGCUCAAGAGAAUAAUAAUAAACAUAAGGGCAUGAUUGGAAGCAUGGUACGAAUAAAAUAAAAUAAUGUACGGUUAAGUUUAAAGUAACCCAAAGUGCUCCGUGAUUCGUUCAUGUAACGCACAUUUCCUAUUUUGAUGGGCCCCACAAAUCUAAUUAUAGAUCAGGAUAAAUGAUACGUUUGGUCAUCAAACUAUGGUGUAUUGGUGUUCACGGUUUAGUUCUCAAAAUUUAAUUUACUUUAAUUUUAAAUUUAAAUUUUUAGAAUUAUUUCAAUUAAAGUUCUCAAAUCUAAUUUAUUAACUAAAUAUUAAUAUACUGCUAAUAUAGAAGUGAUAUAACAGUAUUGCAAUUGAUAAGACCCUAAUAAUUAAGUUAUCGUAUCACGCCAAUAUUUAGUCAAUUAAAAUAGUUUAUAAAAUUUAGUUACAAUAAUUUUCAAAGUUUAUAAAUUAUAACAAACUGAAGUUUAAGAAUUAAAGUGUCAUCGACUCAUAGUUCGAGAACUAAGCGAGCAAUUUACUCUAGAUAUAAGAGGUACUUUCAUCAUUUUGUGAUUAUUCUUGGUUUUUAUAGUAGCAUUAAUAAAUAUUUUUUAAUUUUAAAGGAGUAUUAAUAGAAUGGUUAAAUUAUAGAAACUUUCUAUUAAUAUCCUUUUUUUUUUACUUCUUUUUCUGUCAUUCAAAAAUUUAUAUUUUAUUCCCUAAAAAAAUAAAAAAUAUUUACAGAGAGGUACGCCGUAACAAAAUGACUAAAUUACCCCUCAUGUUCUUUGGAAUGGGCGAAGGAGGAGGGUUUUAGAGGUAUUUUGGAUAUAAAAAAUAGUAUAUAAACGAAAUCCUAACGAAACACUGACGACAGAGUCAAAGUUAAUACUUUUUUAUUUUUUAAAAGAACAAGAUGUAUGUUUUUGAAUGAUACGUGAAAAAGUUAAAAGUGGGUAUUGAUAGAAAGAAUUAUUUGAAACGAUGAAAUUAUCUUUACAGUAAGAAAUAUAUUUUUAGUUUAAACAUAAUUAAAAAAUAUACUUAUAUAAUUUUCUCAAAUUAUUUUUUUAAUUAUUAUAUGUAAGAUAAAAUUGCGACAAAUUUGAAUGGAGUUAUUUGUACCUACUGAGCAUCAAAUUUAGAUCGCCAUACCGUGAGCUACAAUUAUUUGCUUUGACCCCACCACCGUCACCACGUGGCAGCAGACGAUUCGUACCGUAAUUACCAAGCAAAGAAAAAGCCCCAUUGGCUUUUACCCCGACACGUCACUUCAGUUGCGGGCCCCACGCGAUGUUACCGUUUACCUUGCGGGUACCGCUCCGUUACUCGCCACGUCAUUUGCGCGCGAGCGUCCGCGCCGACCGACCCAAGCCACCUCGUCGUCGUCGUAUUACCGUAAACGCUUUUUGACUCAAUAAUGUGCGCAACCACCCGAGUCCGACGAUUCCAUCCUCGGCCUAAACACCAAACACCGGAUCUUUCUCCACAGUCACGCCACGUGUCCCCCCCGUUUCCACCGAGGUCCACUCCGAUGAUUGCUGUGCGAUGCAACUGUACAGUUGAUGCGAACGGAUGUUGCCUGGACCCGGUGUAUCGGCACUUUCCAUGCACCACACCUCUAAUUAUUUUUGUAGUAGAAAUUUUUUUAAAAAUUAAUUUACUGAGACCUUUCAAUUAAGAGUUCUAUAUAUAUAUAUAUAUAUAUAUAUAUAUAUGAAAUCGUACACUUUGGAUUGCCUAUAAUAGAUCGUUGAUGUGUUAGUAUAAUUAUAAAAUAUUUUAUUUUAUUUGAUGAGUAGUUUUUUAAAAAUUUAUUGGUGUUUAGAUAUAAUUAUGAUCAAUUUAAUGAAAUAUACUUAUCAAAUUAAAGUUAAAUUUUUAAAUAUUGAUUAAUUAAUUAAUUAAUCAACAAAUAGCAAAUACAAACACGUGGUAGAUGUGGUACACGUAGUCCAGGGGCAGGCCACAAUUUUCUCGCUCCCCUUGUGUCGGUUGCUAUUUUAAUAACUGUGGUGAGGGCAUUUUCGUAAUUUCGCGACCUAUGAACAGCACAAAAAUGUAGAGAGAGAGAGAGAGAAAGAUCUGUCCCGCCUCACAUUCCCCGGAGCUCGCUCUCUCUCUCUCUCUCUCUCUCUCUCUCCCCCCUCCGUCUCUCGCAGAUCCGGAGGAGGAGGACGAGGCAAAACCCUAUUCCCUCCGAUCUUCGAUCCCAAUCACCUCAAACCCUACAAACCCUAGGCUUCGAUCUCGAACGGAUUCGGUAUCGACAUCCCCGGGCAUCGCCAUUGACGUCACCCCCGAGCUCCGCUCCCUCCGACCCUCUCCUUCCCCCCAAUGCCGUCGUAAUCUCCGCCCCCGGACCCCCUAGGUAUCUUCUAUCUCCUCGUAUACGGUCGAUUUGAGGUGCCCGCUGAGAUUUUCGUGGGGUUUUGGGGGGGAUCUGUGCUGUAGAACUCGCGUUCUAGGGUUUUCUAUUGGUAAUGCGGCGGGUGUAGCUCGUGGAUCUGAGAAUGGGAGUUGCGAAGUACACCAAGGGGUGUUGCGGGUGGUUGAUAGUGCUUAUUGUCGCCGCGCUUGUGGUCACUGCAGCGGUCGUAGCCAUUAAGAAGAGGAAGCCCCACCAUGCCGAGGUCCUUCCGGUCCCCGGCCCACCGGGGGCCAUUAAUCAGAAGUACGCCGAUGCCCUCGGCAUAGCUCUGCAGUUCUUUCAAGUGCAAAAAUGUACCUUCCCUGCUUAUCACUGUUCCAUUUCCUCUCUAAUUGCAAUGAUUAAUUCCAAAAGAUGGGUCUUUUUAGCUCUUUCAGUAUGUUCCUCAUUUUUUCUUUUUUUAAUCUGUUAAUGGCACUCGCAUAAAUGUCCCUGCAAAAUUUGAAAAUUAGAUAUUUGUGUCUCUUUAAAAUUGAUAUUUGGUGUCAUUUUACUGUUUAAUUUUUUUUGUAUUUAGUAGGAAAGCAGAUAUUAUGUUAUAGGAAUUGGAUGGGACGGCAUGGGUGUCGGAACAGCGGAAAAAGUUUAAAUGAAAAACUAUCAAAUUAACAUUCAACGAAUGGUAGUUAAUUGGGAGCUCUAGAUGAAUUACUUAUUGAGUUUUAGCCUAAGAAAUUAAAUAUUACCAGAUCCACUUUCGAAGUUUAAUAUGCAAGUGACUCUUGUUAAGGGGUUUACUAGUUCCCAUUAUUAUUUAUUUAUUUAUUUUCAUUCUAUGCAGCGGGGAAGUUGGUUAAUAACAAGAUUUCGUGGAGAGGGGAUUCUGCCCUGGAUGACGGGAGGGAAGCAGGAUUGGACCUGUCAAAGGGGAUGUAUGAUGCAGGGGAUCACAUGAAAUUUGGUUUUCCUAUGGCUUACACUGCAACAGUGUUAUCAUGGUCUAUUCUUGAAUACGGGGAUCAGAUGAGUGCCGUGAAGCAGCUAAAUCCUGCUCUGGACGCUCUUAAGUGGAUCACGGAUUAUCUGAUCAAUGCCCAUCCUUCUGAUAAUGUUCUGUAUAUUCAGGUAGUUUUUGUGGGAAUUUUUCUUUUUUUCUUUUUUUAAGGUUCAUAAGACAAAGGUGGGCUCUAUGUUAAAAUUAAGAUCUUUCAAGUUUUCUUCUUUAGUUGAGCCAGAUUCCACUAUUUGUUUUUUUCAUUGAACCCUAUUUGCCAUAAUUAUGUGCUUUUCUUCAUCCUUUGUCAGGUUAUGCGAUGUGUUUUUCUAAUUAGUUUGACAUUAUACUGCAUUGUCAUCACUCUAGUACCAGAUUUAUCCAUCUUCUUGUGGCAUAGGAAAUAACGCUUUUAGAGUUUAUCCAGAGACCAGAUUUAGAGGGCAUUUAUUCCUCUUUAGGUAGAUCAACCUAACUGGAAGUAAAUGUUCACUACAUACUAUUUAUGAAAAAUCUACUAUCUUAAUGACUCUUGUUAUUAUUUGUCCUUGCCAUUUGUUCCUUAAUGAUAAGAAUGUAAUGGAAGUUCAUUUUUAAAUUGCUAUUUGUCCCUUCUCUUUUGAAGUUAAUUAUACAUUGUCUUGUUUUUAUCUAUAUCAUGACAAAUGAACAAGCAGCUAGCAGUCCCUCUGAGAUGUAGGCAAGUAAAUAGAUUCUCUGUUGCUUGCCUUCAUAUCUAAUUGUAGAUUCGCUGUUACAUUUAUUUCUUUAUAUCUAAAAUGUAUGAUUGGAAGCAUGUGGAUCUUAUAAAACACUACAGUUUCAAGGAAAAAAGUCUGUAGUAACCAUUACCCCGUUUAUAUAUAUAUAUAUAUAUAUAUAUAUAUAUAUAUAUAUAUAUAUAUAUACAGAUCAGAGCUGUUAUGCUCUCAGGAGCACGGAGGCCUUCGUGCUCUUGAGCCGUUUUCGAUGAUAAAAUUUUCGAAUCAACGAUCGGCUCCGUUAGACUUGAUCUAGCGUAUUUGAAGUUUCUAGAAAAUAAUUUUUGCAAUUUUUUGAUAUCAUUUACCUAGUGAUCGAAAGAUUCAAAAUCAAUAAUUUUUAAUGGUUGAUAUCUGCCGUUUUCAAGUUUAACGGUAUAGAAGUAUUCAAAUCAGAUGAAAUUUUGAUACAAAAUUCUUUAUACUAUCUACAACAAGAUCAAUAUUUCUGAUCGAAAAUUUUAGUGCUAUGUGACCACUUUUUAUAGGAUUUUUAUUUUCAGCCGUUAAAAAUUAUUGAUUUUGAAUCCUUUCGAUUGCUAGGUAAAUGAUAUUGAAAAAUCGCAAAAAUUAUUUUCUAGAAACUUCAAAUACGCUAGAUCAAGUCUAACGGAGCGGAUCGUCGAUUCGAAAAUUCCAUCAUCGAAAACGGCUCAGCUCCUGAGAGCAUGGCAGUCCUGCUAUAUAUAUAUAUAUAUAUUAAUAACCUCUCUGAAAAGUUAUGAUCUGAUUGGUAGGUGGGUGAUCCUGAGAUAGACCAUAAAUGUUGGGAAAGGCCGGAAACAAUGGCAGAGAAAAGGCCGCUAACAAAGAUCGACCAGAAAACUCACGGGACAGAGGUGGCUGCGGAGACAGCAGCGGCUCUGGCCGCAGCUUCCUUGGUUUUCAAAUCCAUUAAUACCACCUAUUCCGAUUUGCUUCUUCACCAUGCCCAGCAGUUAUUCACUUUUGCUGACACUUACAGAGGUUCCUAUAGUGUUAGUUAUCCUCAGCUUCAGAACUACUACAAUUCCACAGGUUAUGUAGAUGAGCUCUUGUGGGCAGCUAGCUGGCUCUAUCAUGCUACUGGUGAUCAAACAUAUCUCAGCUAUGUAACUGUGGAAAAUGGAAAAGCUUUUGCCGACUGGGGAAGACCGACUUGGUUUAGUUGGGAUGACAAACGUGCAGGAACCCAGGUACAUAUCUAGAUCAUGAAGUGAAAAGUUUGCCCUCUCAGUUAGCUUCUCUUCUUCAUAAAAUGAUAUGCCAUGUUAUUAUGAUUGUGUACACUAAAGUAUGAAUUUUUGGUUCAUAUCAAAACAAUAAUGUGAUUUCAACACGUCAACUCAAGGUACCCAUAUCCUUAAAUCAUUGUAGCUAACAAGAGCAAGUCUGCGGAAAAGCUGGGAACUUAAAUGACCUGCCUUCUAAGGAAUUACUUUGAAUAAAUGUUACGGUGAAAGUAAAUUAGUUAUGCCUCACUGGAGCCGAUUCAAACUUUUUUGCAGGUUCUUUUGUCCAGGAUAAACAUUUUUGGUUCUAAACAAUCCUCGAAUGCAGAGAAUGUGGGCCUCCAAAUGUAUAGAAAAACAGCUGAAGCCGUCAUGUGUGGUCUUUUGCCAGAUUCCCCAACAGCAACCUCUAGUAGAACAGAAAGUACACCUAAAUACCUUUCUCAGUUGAUUUAGUAUUAUGAUUUUCUCAGUUGAUUUAGUAUUAUCAUUAUUAUUAAGAGUAUCUUGCCUGUUUGUUCAUAGGUUCGCUAGUUUUCUUGACAGUGCUCCAUGAAAUCAGCGAUUUCUUGUUCUAAUUCGAAGUGCAUUCUCAUACAUUCUUAAUGACUUGGUUAUCAUGUUCUAUCUCAUAUGCACCAUUGAUAGUCUAGUUUUGUUUUUCAGUGUCAUGUAGCUGAAUGUUUUGACUUCGUUGGUUGGACAGUUUGUUCCCUGCACUGGGGUGUGAAUAUGACCAGAUUUUUUAGCGUAACUUCCUCGAAUCUAGCCACAAGAAAUUAAGCCAUUUAUUUUGGCACUUCUAUAGUUAAUUUUUAUGGAGAAAUUGUAAAAGAACAUCCCAUUUAGAAUCAAAGCAGUAUGGAUAAACUGGACAAACUUGGCAUGUUGUGUCAUCUUUUAAAUAUUCAUUUCGUCAAAAGGAGAUUUUGUAGAAUGUCUGACUGCUUCAUGGUUGGAAAAUCAUGACAUUAAGAUGCAACAUAUGGACACUGUGUGAUCCAGAGGUAAUUGAUCCAUUUUUUUUCUUCCAUGCGUCUUCCUUCAUUAAGAUUCAGAGAACAUAACCAAGAUUUAUGGAAGACUCAUGCAAUCCCAGCCUUAUUGCUCUUGUUUACCAUUAGCUUUUACUGCUUUUGAUCAACCAGUUUUUAACUCCAGUUCAUCCUUGAUUUUGUUUGUUCCAUGCCAUAGAAUAUAUCUGAAUAAUUUUAGUUGAAUAAUAUUGAUCAGUGGUAUUAUUUUUCUAAUGCUUUUUAAUUUCACUCUUCCUAUCUAGAUUUAGGCAUACAUGCGACUAUAUUCUGAAUUACAGAGGACUAUUUUGAACUGUAAAUUGUAAAGUUAUUAUGAGCUUUCGGUAUUUAAUGGGUUUUGCCUUAUUUUUAUCGUCUUAACCCAGGUGGGUUGUUAUGGAUAGACGAGUGGAAUGCUCUUCAGCACCCUGUUGCUGCUUCUUUCCUCGCUGUUGUUUACAGCGACUAUAUGCUCACAUCGCAGACUCCAGAAGUGCACUGCAAUGGGGACUCCUACACACCCAUUGAUCUGCGGAAAUUCGCAAUGUCACAGGUAACAUCCUUGGAGGGCUUCAACUCCUGUUUGUACUACUUUUACUAACUUUGCUUGCUAUGGCCAUGUCCUGAAAUGAUUCUGAGAAAAAGCUUUCCUUAGGCCUGCUUGGCUAGGCUGGAGAUUUUGCAUUAGUGCUGAGUGAGUGUGUUGGGAAAAGUGGUAUGUCUUUCCUUACAAAACACCCACAAUAACCUUGUGCAACAGCCAAGGACGUCAUCUAGCUUAGUGCUUCGCCCUGAAGCUUUAAGCAUCUUGCCUGAUAAACAUCUCGCUUUUGCAUAUCGAGUAGAGAAGCUAUUGCUAAGGUCAGAUCAAAUAGGCACUUGAGGCCUAUAUGGUUUCAUCAAAACCUCCUGUAUUUCUUCUUCCUAGAAUUGAAGCAUAAGCUUCUAAUCGAAGCUCCUACUUGUGGGGUCCAAAAUCCCAUUUCAGCUUCUCAUAACAGCAAAAGCUCCAGAUUAUUAGCCAAGCACGUGAUUUUUAGAAGCUUCUGCUUUCUCGGUGGACAAGCUGUUCCGGAAGCCAAGAACAGUAUCUCAGCUCAUCAUUUUAAGGAUGGAAAAAAAAAGAGAAUAAGAUAAAGUAAUUGACCAAAAAAAAAAAAAACAAAUAAGCUGAGUGCUCUUUCCUCUUUUUUCUUUCCCUCCAAUUUUUUCAAAAAAACCAGGCCGACUACAUCUUGGGCGACAACCCGAUGAAGCUCAGCUACCUCGUAGGCUAUGGUAGUAGCUACCCGCAGCAGGUGCACCACAGAGGAGCCUCAAUCCCCACAGAAGCAAACACAGGCUGCAAGGGCUUCCAGUGGCUUACAUCAACUGAACCGAACCCAAAUGUAGCCACUGGAGCGCUCGUCGGAGGUCCAUUCAAGAACGACUCCUACAUCGACCUGAGGAACAACUCGAUGCAGGCCGAGCCGAGCACAUACAACAGCGCGGUUCUCGUCGGCUUGCUCUCCGGCCUCGUCACCACUUCCUCUGUCGCACAGUCUUUCACGUAAAUACUCUCUUCGUGCUCUUUGAUGGUUUCUGUUGGCAUAUGAAUGAUGUACAUGAGCAAGCAUCGUUGUUUGCGGUCGAGUGAAAGUAUGCUGUAUUGUGGCUAUGCCGGGGGUCUAUGAGAAGCCAUUUUUUGUUGUUGUACUUGUUUACUAUAUCAUGGGAAGCUUUCUUGUACUUGAGUGUGUGCAAUAUCCAUCGAAAGCAAUUAGAGGUGUAUGUGUAAUUGAGAGAGAGACCUACUAUGUUUUUUAGUACAUAUGAUUUAUGGAAUGUGAGAUGCAAAUAUGCAGUAAUGAGUAAUGAAUGAUACUCGACUACAUUCUCAUAGUUGAACAAAUUUGAGUUAAACAAACAUUUACAUUGUGAUUAUAAUGUCGCCGGACAAACAAUGCAAAGUAUGCAUUGUUAUUGUCAUUGAAAGGCAAACAGUUUAUAGUUUUAGGCUAAUCUCACGUAGUUGUCAUUUAACACUCUACUCUGCAUUCGAUCUAUUUGAAAGGAGCAUUAUGGAUGGAUACAUUUUAUAAUUCAAGAACAUUAUUAAUCAUCUAUUCAAUUUAUCCACUGCCUGAGCACAUUCAUGAGGGGCAAUUAACCAACCUGUCUCAGUGGUUGCAUCUUUAUUCUUAUUUUCCUUCUUUGUUCCAGCAUCUUAGGAAACAUUUUUUUUGGGUGCUCCCAUGAAUUAAAGCAACCUUUUUGAUCAAGCAAGCAAUGCCUGGCAGCAGAGCAUGUGGCUAUGAACCUGUCAAGAAAUUCCUUCAAGCAGAGAAAGAAAAAGGAGUUGAUUGCUUUUUGUAAGUUUACCAUCCAUCCCCAAAGUAAGGAUUUCACCCAUGAUUACAAACUUUCUUUCUCUUCAGGUAAAGCAUCCUCUAAAGAACAUCAUGAGACUCAAUACCAACAGCUAUGAAACUUUUUCUGUUCAUCUUCAUCACAAACAAUAAUAAUUCCUGACAUUUUUUGGUGCAUUAAUUCCCAAGGAAUGCAGGGAAGAAGACAUUCAUGACACAUCACACAGCCAAUAAUGCAGUGGACCCUUUGUCUUCAAUAAAUAUCAUUUUUAUCUCAAUGCUGCACAGAUCCAACAGCUUCUUAUGGCGGAAUGAGAGAGCGCGGAAUGAGAGAGCUAUGCUCGAGGAGACGAAGGGUUCAGUGACUCAGAGAUAUUUAGAGCCGUGAUAGUAAGAGGUGGGACUUGAUGGUAUACGUUGUGAUUCUCCAAAUCGAAAUCCACUAAGUUCGUAAUUGUCGGGUAGGUAGGAUUCAAUAAUCCCACUCUACUGAAAUUAUUAUCUGGCUCACUUGUGCGCAAAAGCACCAUAUUAGACAUUAUUUUCAAUUUGACAUUCCGACAAGCUGUAGCUCAUCCAUCCAAAAAGCCACAUGACAAGCCAUCCAAUUGAAACACUUCGAAUUUUUCAAAAUAUUAUUUUUAUAAAUUAUGAUCAUGUUGGCAAAUACGUAUUAUAUUUUGAACUGCAUGCAUGAAUAAAUCAAAAUGUAUGAUAUCAUUAAGUGCUGACACAUUAAAUAAUAUAUAAAAACAACAUAAUAAGGAAUCUGCAAUAGUACUCUGAAUUCAUAGAUGUAGUUUUUUUUUUUCCAUACAAUCCUGUGAUGUGUUGAAUCUAAAGUCACCCACUUUAGAGACAAUGUGCCAAAGAUACAGCAGAGAAUUUGGUCCUCUAAUAGUUUUAUGGUACCACCACCACCACCACUGCACCUUUUACAACCCCAUGACCCUAUGCAUUUUUUGUAAUCAAUGUGUGGAGCCCCUCUCCACAUGGCUAUCUUGUGGCUGUAUUAAUUUUGAAGGACCCUUCUCUUUUACCAAAUAUGUGGAAAUAGAAAACUUUAACUAUUUUCACAUAUGUGGAAGCACCAUUAUUACCUUUCACCUUAAACAGUAACAUGUCUCUUACCAGUUUCUACCAUAGAAUUUCCAAAAGAGAGUUUAACUUUUUGAACAUCCAUGCAUAAGAUCCCUCUCUUUUACUUCUCAUUUAUAUCUUUUCUAUUUUGGGUAACUUUUUUUUUUUUUUGCCAACAAACAAGUUAUGAUAAUAGAAGAGGGACGAGAAGGGGUAAUAGACUGCUUAGAACCGACUCUGAUAUCAUACUAUCCAAAAGAUCAAUAUGACAAUCGAUAUUAGAUAAAUAACUCGGCAAACCUCCUAUUUUACAAUCAUUGUGAGAUACAUAGUGUUUCAAAUAUCUCACGCGCAAUGUAUCCCUAAAGAUAACGAUUCUAUAAUUAGCCAAAAAGCAUCUAGUACUCGAUAGAUGAUGAGUGUGAUUAAAUAUUUAGAAUGAAUUUUAUUUUCGAUCUUUAAAUUAUUUUCUCAACAUAAAAUAAGUCACUUUGCAGAUGAGAUAUAUUAUCUUAACUUCGAAGUACACAAAAAAAUAUUUUGUUCAGAAUAAGUUAUUAUUGGAUUUCUAAUUUCAAAACACAUAAAAUGAAUGUCUAGACUUUUCAAAAACAUCGUACAGAAGAAGUUAUUAUAUGCUAUCCUAUCAAAUCAUAGAUGCCAACAUUUUUCGAGGAGCAAAAAGCGAACUCCUAACUUUGAAUUAUAUAAAAAAUAUUUAUACAAAAUGACUUACAAUCUAAAUUCUAAAAAAGAAUAGGGCAAAAAAAUUUUUAGAAUAAAAGAAACAAAUCCUUUAUCUUAAUUAUUCGCACAUUGAUCUUUUUUUUUAUUUCACAUUCUAUCUCUCCGUUUUGUUACCAUCACUUAUUUUCCUCUUCAUUCUCCCCUCAAAAAAACAAAAAAAAAACCAAAAAAUUUUAGUUGGCAAUUCAGAUAAUAAUUACUACACUAGUUUAAUAUUUGUUAGUUUUCGCGUAUUUCUUGUUCAUUAACAAAUGAAAUUAUUUAACCCUAUUUAUGAAAAAUUUUAAGUCAAAACAAAACAUUUCCCCCAUUUUGAUCCAUGUUUCCACUUCCACUCCAACUAUACAUUCACUCUUUUAAAAAAAAAAAAAAAAAACCUGCAAAACCAGCGGUUGAGAUUAUACAAAUAUGGACACGUGUCAUGCAUCAAGAUCCCCAUCCAAUGGUUAUUAAUUAAUUGAUUAAAAUGCGUGAAGACCCCUGACCUAUACUCCUAUCUACAAAUGCCUCCAACGCUUAAAAUUUUUAAGAUAAAAACUUACAAAACUUAUCUAAACUAUGAAUCAUUUUGAAUUAGCUAUCCAAACUUUCAAAAUUUUGAUUUUACUAUCUUCAAUUUAUUUGAUUUGAAUCGGUCAGUGAUACUUUGACUUCAAAAUUUAAACUAAUUUCUUAUUUUGAUGAGUUUAUAGUUGCGAAUACUAUAUGAAAUAUGAUAACUAAAUCUAUAAAGAUAAGUGACGCAUUCAAAUUUUGAAGUCAAAGUGCCAGUUACUAACUCAAAUCAAGCAAAUUGAAAAUAUUGGAGAGUAAAAUCAGAAUUUUGAAAGAUUUGAUAGGUAAUUCGAAAUAGUCCAUAGUUUGAGUAAAUUCUAUAUAUUUUUACCAUUUUUUAAAUUGACACACUCUUAACUUUUGUUUUUUACAAUUAAGUAAUUUUUGUUAACUAAAUUAGAGAUUUUAUCAAAUUUAAUAAUUUUGAUAACUUUUUUUAGCAAAAUAAAAUAAAAUAAAAGCAAAUAACAAUUAAUAAAUAAAAGAACCAUAAAUUUAAUAAAAUUAUCUGACUUAACUAACCGGGAAGAAAAAAAAUCUAAUAAAAGGAAUUUAAAGUUGGGGGAUGUCACUAAAAAAAAAAAAGUUGAGGGGGCUAUUUCAAGUAGUUUUAUAGUUGAGAGGGUCUCCAUACAUUUUUACCUAUUAAAUAAAUAAAUAAUUAAUUAAUUAACUUUCCCCGCAUAGGAAUUUUUGUGCGGAUAACGCUUGCAACAAAUUACCGUUUCGCAUAUCGAAUCUUGGAUUAUCCGUCUAACGGGCGCAUCCAAAGAAAAUUAUUUUAAUUUUUAUGGGGCAAAAAUGUGGAAAGAGCUCCCUGACAUUUAGCAUAUUUGCAACUCACUACUAAAUUUUUAAUUUUGAUAAUUACACUCUUUUUAAUCGAAGUUAGUAAAUACUCAGUAUUUUGGUCACAUGUAUUUCAUAUAUAAUCUUGUAAAACUUAAAAUUGCAAAAUAUUUUUUUUUUGUUUUGAUAUACAAAACAGUAAUAAAAAUUAGAAAUAAUUCACUCUAUUAUUUAAUCAUGAUGUUUGAUUAUUGUAAUUAGAAGACACAAUAAUUUUUGUUGUGUCCUAAAGUUACGUAAAAUUAUGUGUAAAAUAUUUAUGCAGUAACUUUGUUGAAGAAGAGGAGCAUAUUAAAUUACACACUAAGUUACAAAAUAUCCUCUUAUAAAUAUCUAUUUUUUUACCUCUUUCUUCUAAACUUUUAAAAAUCUAUAUUUUACCCUCUUAAUAUUUUAAAUUAUUGCAUUUAGCCCCCUCCAUCAGGGUUCAAGCACUAUUCCAUCAAUUUUUUAUAAUUUAUACUGAAAAUAUCUUUUAAAAUAAUCAAAAUUAUAAUAAAAAUUAUUCUUUUUUAAUAGAAAAAGUAAGAAUAAUUUGAUUAUUUUGUCCUCUCUAUUAAUCCUGUAACGCUCUGAAAUUAUUUCUAAAUUUUAAGAGGGCAAAAUAUAGAUUCUUGAUAGUUAGAGAGCGAAGGUGAAAAAGCGAGUAUUCAUAGAAAUUUUUUUAUAAUUUAGUCUAAGACUAUAUGGUGAAAUAUAAAGAUCUAAUUAUCAAAAUUAGAAGCUUAGGCACCUAUUUGAAAAAGUGAUAAAGAUCAGGGGGUUCUUUGUAUAUUUUUCCCAAUUUUUACCCAACUCGAUCCCUAAUGUCCCCAAAUCCCAAAUCCGUCCAUUUUAGAGAGAGAGAGAGAGAGAGAGAGAGAGAGUGCGAAUUCAAAACGACCCCUCCCCCCCUCUCUCCUCUUCGUCGUCUUCGUUCUCUCUCUCCUCUCUCUCUCUCUCUCUCUCUCUUCGUUCCCACACGGAGGUGGCGGCGCUUCGUAGGGUUUCGCUCCCCCCACGCCGAAGCGACACCGCGACCCUUCUCUCUCUACAUAUAGACGCAUCCGUACGCGAUCGGUCUCUCCCUCUUUGAUCGCUUCCUCGUUCAAGAAUCGAAGGUAUCGCGAUCGUUUCCGCAAACCCUACCUUUUCUUUACAAUUCACGUCACCAUUCGAGAAUCGGAUCAUCCGUUUCUUGUAAUUGUGCUAAGCAAUUGUCGAGUUUAUUAGAUUUUUAGGUAUCUGAAAUAGUACUUUGAGUUCUUGGAAUAGGAUUUUAAUUGCAUACUUGUGAAAUUCUUACUGUUCUAAUCCUGUAUGUUGGAUUCCAAUAAUGGACAUUUGCUUUGCUGCAGAGGGACCAGGGACAAAGUUGAUUUUUUUUCUUCUGUGCAGUGAGCUUCUAAAAGAUGAUAGGUUCAUUUCUUACUAGAGCUCUAAUGUAAGCAAAUAUUCCAUGUAUCGAGAUUUUGUGGAUAGAAAGGGUGUGGUUGAAGACAAUGAACUGAUAUUUUACUCUCCUUUUGUAUACAGCCUUGCUCUUGGAUAUGCUUAUCCAGCAUAUGAUUGCUAUAAGACAGUGGAACUGAACAAGCCAGAAAUUGAGAAGUUGCGCUUUUGGUGCCAAUAUUGGUUAGUUGCAUCACUUAUUUGUGGGAAAAAUGUUUUCGACUCUUUUGGUGCGAUAUAUAUUUCUAAAACAAAGAAUACCAUAAUGGCAUUUUGCAGGAUCUUAGUUGCACUUCUGACAGUUUGUGAGAGGGUUGCAGAUAAUUUUAUAUCAUGGUAAUGAAUUUUUCUUUAUGUAGCCAAAAUAUUUGUCCUUGGAAUUAUGAAUUAUUUUAUGCUAUUCCAUUUUUAUUUUGAUUUGAUCUAAUGGCUGCCCUUUCCAUCUUAAAGGUUGCCAAUGUAUAGUGAAGCAAAGUUGGCUUUCAUUGUGUACCUCUGGUAUCCUAAAACAAAGGUAAGAUAUUCAUUAUUGGGAAGUGGGAAUAUAAGUUAUUCUUUGUGUUUAGAAGCCUACUUAUGUUGGAUGAUUGCAGGGGACAACAUAUGUCUAUGACACGUUCUUCCGGCCAUAUGUCGCGAAGCAUGAAACGGAGAUAGAUCGUAAUUUGCUUGAAUUGAGAACAAGGGCUAGUGAUAUUACUGUGCUAUAUUUUCAGAGAGUUGCGAGUUAUGGCCAGACAAGGUUUUUUGAAAUUUUGCAGUAUGUUGCUUCACAAUCUCAGGCGCCAAGAACUCGAAUGGUUCAGGUAUUCUUUAGUCCAUGAUAAAUUGGAAUAUGUUGUAUCUUAGCCUUGUGAGUGUUUUUUCCCCUCAUUUUAAUUACAUUUAUUAUCUAUAUUUACCUAUAUUACAUCUAUGUGAAAGUGCGUGACCUUUUAGUUGCAUUAACGAAAUGAGUAUACCCUACUUUUCAUAGAACGAAUGUUCUUGCGAUGGUUUUUGUUAAGUCCUUCUAAUUGUGGCAUGGCUGGUUGCAUCCUACUUUUUUCACAAAGCAUUCUUAUCUUGUUUACUGAUUUACUUUAUGUUUAUUUGCUAAACUUCUAGCUGCAAUUAAUUGGUGGUGGCAUUGUAGUUUUCUUUUAAUUGUUAGAGGCUCACUACUAUGAAUACAGAGACUGAUUUUUUGUCUCUCACUGGUAUGCAACACUAGAAAAGGAUAUUCUUUGACAUUGAUGAGUGCUGGCUAUGUGCAUUGAUAUUCUUGGAAAUCCCCCUAUCUAUACGUGUAUAGAUAAAGAGAGGGAAAGGGAGAGAGAUUUCAUGUUAACUGACUCGAGUGAUUUCAUGUUGAUAAUCUCCUUUUUUUUCGGAAAGAUGAAAUGCAUUGUGUGAAUGAAUUCUGUGAGGCAGAAGUAUGUAGCUUAGAUGUAUAAUGUGAUCUAACUAGUGUGCUAUGGUUAAUGUUCCAUCAUCCUGAGUUUCUAUAAGUGGGCUAGAAAACUAUUCAAAGAUAAUUUCAGUAUGGAUACUGUGGUUGAUAAUAUUGACAUCAGUAAGAUAGAGUUGUCCAUGUGAAAUUUGGAUAAUAUUGAAGCUUUUGGAUAAUAUUGAAGCUUUUGAAUGAUGUCUAUUCCUAAAUUUUCAAGUGCUUCAGUUGUUCUUAACUAGCUCUGGCUGGUGAGUUUGCUAUGAUAGUUGAAGUAGUUGAGGUUUUAGGAUUUUUAUUUAUGUUUAUAUUUAUAUAUGUACUUGCAGAAUUAAUUAUAUGGUGGAAAUUUGGGUGGAGAUUAAAGGUUGUGUAAUUUAAAGCCCCUUAAAAUCAAGAGCAUUGGAAAUCAGGAUAUUGGUUGUUUUGGAUUCUUGGAAUCGUAAUUCUGUAGAAUGUCGUACGACUUCUUUGUAGUUGGUUCUUUUACCGCCUCUUCUUCUGUUUCCCUCCUCUUCUCUGCAGUCCUCUCUCUUCUGUUUAUGUUAUCUUUGGUGAUUAAUUAAGAAUCAAUUUUGUCUUUUUGAGCCAAGGCAAAUUUCAGACUGGUAAAUCGGCUAUGCAAUUUAACUGUUAAUAUUAACAGCACUGAAAUUGAUGUAUUUUGCAAUGUAUGGUGGAUAGUCAACUAUGCCAUUCACAGUAUUGCAAUAUUUGGUGGAUAAAUUAUCAUUGGUAUACUUUGGAGAAGAUCAUGAUAUUUUGUACUCUUUUGAUGAUGAGUUUAUGCAACGCAUUGAAUAAUAGAACUGCCACCAGAAGUAGACUCUUGAUAGUUCAAUAUGGCAGUUGAACAGAAAAAUUAUCUUUUGAUGUACUUUAAAGGCAUAAAUCUCUUCAAAGGUAAUAUUGAAUUUGAUUGAUAUGUAGAAUCACAUCAUUAGAUCUCUAAGAAAGGUCAAUAUAAGAGUUGAUCGACAUGAAUACUCGAAGUUCUUUGAUAUGUAGAAUCACAGUAUUAGAUUUCUAGAAAGGUCAGCGUAGAAGUUGAUCAAUAUGAAUACUCACGUCAGAUCUCUAGGAAAGAGUUAUCAAUUGGAUCUUCAGGCUUAGUUGCCUUAAUAUUGUGUCUCUCUGUUUGAUCUCUUCGUAGGAAAACAAAACAAAAAUGAAAGAGUAGAAAACAAGUCUGCGAAAUGGAAAGACUAAUUAUUAGGUUUCCACAUUAUUCUUCUCAGUCUUCUUGUUCUAGCGACAACCAAUUAAAUAGGAAUAUCAGCAAAUGGGGAGAAAAUACAUAUGAGAAGAGGCUGACCGUUAGUUAUAUAAUAAUCUCUUACUUCAAGAAGUCUAGGAAGUUAAUAGCAUCUGAAUGUUCAGCAUUUCAUUUUAGGACGAGCCAUAUACAAAAAGUACCAUGAAUAUCGGCUAAAACUAUUAUAUCGAAAAAUUGUAGGUAUAGGUGAUUGAUUUUGCUGAUAGCUAUCCAUUACCCUUUUGUGCCUGUUUAUCUUCAAUGUAACAGAAGAUUUCUAUUGCUUUAAAGUCUCAACAUAACGUAGCAUCCUUAUAUACUUUAGUUUCAAGUGCUUCUGCUUAAAAAGCUAUAAUUCUACUAGUCAGUUGUUCUGACAUAUUUGUUUCGACUCACAGAGGCGGCAACCGCCAGAAGUUCGGCAACAGCCUCCUGCCGAGCCACCCGCCCACCCACCCUCAUCCUCUCCGCAGCAACAGCAGCCAACAGCACCACCUCCUCCUCCUGGACCCACCAGGAACCUGAUGCAAGAACAGCCCUCAAUUGCUGCCGCUCCUGCCCAUCCGCAAGCCUCAUCAAAUCCCACCCGUACCCUCCCAUCCACUUCAGGGCCUGCCAGCCUCAGCUCUGCAUCUGAGGAACCAAUGCAGGUUGACAACACCGACAACCCCUCGGCAAAUGGAGAACUACAGAGUCCUGCCUCUGAAGAGACAGUCCUGGAGGAGGCUAUCCGUGUAACUCGAGCCCGGCUGAGGAAACGUGCAGCUGCUGCUGCACCCUCUACUCAACCCUCUUCUCAUUAGUACCCUCUCUCUCUCUCUCUCUCUCUCCCUCUCUCUCUCUCUCUCUCUUAUUUUAGCCAUUCUUUAGCUUUUGCUUAGUAAUACUAUUAGCUAGUUCUAGUUAGUAGUUGUCGCAGUAGUUGUAACAAUGUAAAUAAAUGACCUCAAGUGGAACUUUAUUGAUGAUGAUGAUGGUGGUGAUAACCUUUUAUUGAUGAUGAUGAUGAUGAUGAUGAUGAUGAUGGUGAAAGAAAAAAAGAAAAAGAAAACUCAAGGUGAGCCCUUGAAAAUGGAGGAGGGGGAGAGGGGAGCCGAGUCGAGCUGGUAGAGGCCAAGGGAGGGGCCGACGAAGCGGAAGAGGACCCAUCCGCCGAUGACAAUAAAGAUGGAGGCGUAGGCGAACUUGUUGAGCCAGAAGAGGAGGCCCUUCUCCCCCACAUAGAGCUCCACAGCCUUCUCCCCCAGCGUCAUCGCAUCCCACUCCUUUUUCGGCGGCGGUGACGGCGGCGCCUCUGCCGCUGCCUUUCUCUGCUUGGCCUGGUUUUUGGAACGUACCCGAUACUUGAUGUUGAGUGUGGUCCGCGGCGUUUUGGUUGUGGUGUCGUUGUUUGUGCCGUCGACGGUGAUUGGUGGUUGUUGUUGUUGUUGUUCUUCUCCUUUGUUAUCGUCGUUGGCGGUGGCCGGGCCAGUUGCUCGGAGUAUGACUAGGGGUCGGCGGCGGCGAGGAGCGAGGAAUAGGGAGGGGGAUUUGUGUGUGGUGUGGGUAGAGUUGGGAGGAGGGAAGAGGGGAGAGGGGAACGCCAUUUUCGCAUUCAUCGUUUUGGCUAGCUUCUUGAAUUCUUGCUUGCUAUUGCUACUAUUGCUAUUGCUAUUUGGUGGUGUGUGUUUGGUUCUCUCUCUCUGUCAGCUUUGGUUUACCUGUGCUCGUCGUGUAUAUGCUUGGUUGGGGACUUGAUGGUUCUCGUUAUCCGAUUCAUGUGUUUAUCUUUUAAGCUGGUUUUCUUUGUGAAAUGACUGUUUUGCUCUUGGAGGAGGAAAGGGCUUUAGCAGGAACUAGGAAUCGGUUCAUUGCACCCUUGCCUUUUCACUUUCUUAUAAAUAUAUGUCAAAAUAUCUGUAUUUCUGCAGUUAAUUUUUCUUAAUCUAUUAUAAAUUUUUAUAAUUAUAUAAAGAUCUUUUUACUUCUGCAUCUGCGGUUAAAAUAAAAACUAGGUAAGCAUUUUCUAUAUCUAUGCAUAUGUUUAAGAUCCGAUGUGGAAGCGUCCAUUUUUUUUUUUUUUUUUUCGAAAGUCUUGACCUCAAGGGAUGUUAGAUUUGUUACAAAUAUACAAUUUUACACGGAUAGAAAAUUUACUGUUCAUACGGACAGAAUUUUUUCUGUAUUUAUAUGGCGUCGCACAAGUACAAGAUACAACUACAGUGUAUAUAUAUAUAUAUAUACACACACACACACACACACACACACACACACACACACACACACACACACACACACACGACCAUAUAUACUCACCACAUCACCACAUUACAUAAUUGGAAGAAAAAAGAAGAAGCAACGUGUUUUCUUGUUGAAGAAAAAUUCACGCAGGAAGCGGAGGGCUAGAACUAAAAGUGCGAACCACAUAAGCAUAAAAAUUGAAGAAGUAAUUUUAGUUAGUAAAAUUUUUUUAAAAAAAUUGAUGAGAUAAGUAAAAAAUGAUGAUCCUUAGAUGUGCAUCUUAUUUAGAGUGUGUGCCACUACAAUUAAAGAAUUGGAAUUACUCUUCUUUCUUAUACAAAAAUAAAUAAAUAAACAAACAAACAAAGGAGGACUAGUUCAUUCUUUCAAAUUUUCAGAGGGGGAAACCUCGGUCGCAUCGCAUGUAAACAAAGCCUCGGGCCGGAGUUCGACCCACGGCCCACAUUAAAUUGAUACGCUCACCCACCUUUUAACAUCAAUCUACGCCCUCCUUUUACCCCUCAUUAUUAUUAUUAUUUUAUUAAUUCUUAAAAAGUUCGAGAGGGGGUUCACCAAAUCGGAGCGAAAGGGGAGAGACGCGAUGAUCUACCGGAAGUGGUCUCUGCUCUCAUCGACGAUCGUGAUUUGGGGCGGCGCCGCCACCGUCGGCCUCGCCGGGUUCUUCCUCUUCGGUGGCAAGGUCAGAUUUUUGUUUUUUCUUUUGUUUUUUUGUUUUUUUUUUUAAUGAUCUCGUUUACGGGUUUUGAUGCGGAUGCGAGGAUCUGCGGUUACUCUCAGCUUGAGACCUGUUGGGAAUCAGUAUCUGUUGAAUCAGUGUGUUUGAUUGUCGAAAAUCGAGUGUUUGUUUAGUUAUUUGCCCGGUUUGAUCUCUUUCUUACGAGUAUCUCCGUAGAUCCUCUUUUUUUUUUUAAUAUAUAUAUUAAUGUUCCUGAAUAUAUGAUGCUUAAUCUGAUAUAUUGGAUGAAUUUACUUAAUUUAUCUCAAAGUUUCUCAAAGUUUCUGUAUUUUCAUAUAUCUGAACUUCAAUUUGUUGGAAAUGUGACACGCUUCAAAUUAAACUUAUAGAGCCUAGCCCCUAUAACUUUUUUUGGAAGACAAAGAAAAUAAUAAGAGAAGAAGAAGAAUAAGAGAUGAUACGGUGAUGAUGUGGAAGUUGACUCAACUCUCAUAUCAUCUUCAUUUUUUUUAAGAAUGAGGUGGUAGUGGAAUUAGUUUUCAUAUUUCUUCAUAUUAUAUAAAACAAAUGAUGUGAUAAUCGAGUCAGCUGUCGUAUCCACCCUCCAUCAGAGAAAUUGAAGAGAUUCUGAUGACGUGACUUGAUUUAAAUAAAGAUUGAAGUUUGGCAGUUCGAUUGCCACGAACUAUAGUUAUGAAUUUUAAACUUUGCAAUAAGUCAAUUACCACCAUUGGUGUAAUUUACCCCUGAAAUAUCUUGUGUAGGUUUCUUUUAGAGCUACCGUUCGGUACGUUUUGAUCUUUUGGUUAGAAAUCCGCAUUUAUGAGAUGAUAUGGUGAUGAUGUGGGAGUUAAUUCAACUAGCAUAUCAUUUUCAAGAAUGAGGUGGUAGCUGAAUUAGCUGUCACAUUAUCUCCAUGCCAUCUCAAGUAGAUGAUGCCGCAGUUGACUGGGCUGUCCCGUCAGCCCUUCAUUAGAGAAAUUAGACAGAGCCCGACAACGUGACGAUUGAAAGAAAUAUUGAAGUUUGGUGGUUCGAUUGCGACAAAAUGGAGUUUCACAACCAAAACUUUGCGAUAAGUCAGUGACAAACGGUGUAAUUUACCCCUAAAUUAUCAUGCAUAGCUUCCCUUCACAGUUAGCAUUUGGUGGGUUUCAAUCUUUGGUUUGAAAUCCGUAUUUUUGGAUCACAAUUUCCUAUUCAUUUUUGGGUGUAGUAUAAAACAUUCACAGUAUAAUAGAGAACAGUAGACGGUAUCUGAAGCGGAAGUGCGUCAAUGGCAUAAAAUGUCUUCCAGAAAGGAGAGUUAGUUGAAGAUUAGGUUAGAAAAUCUGGUGAUGUGACAACAAAGAAUUGGUUUUCUUAACCUUGUUGCUCACAUCUAAACUAGAUGCUGCUUAUUAGACAAGAAAUUUUUGGGUCAAAAAAAAAUAUUAUUGAUAGUGUUUUUAAGAGGUGAGAAAUGGUGUUUGUACGUGAUAACUAUAAAAUUUCAUGUGAUAGCAUAACACAACUAAUGGUUGAAGCACCUCUGUCUUUAUGCAUCAAAAUUGUGUGAAGAAUGAAUAGAUGCAAGAAAGUGGAUAAGCAAUAGCAUCUGGGGGACUAUCAUUGCUUGCUGGCUACUGAUUAUUGAUGGAUGGAGCUGAGAUAGGGAGUAGAGGGAAGUGAUACGGGGCAGUGGAAGCAUGAAGAUAACAUUAAUCGAGUAUUUUAGAGGGAAAGAGAUCUUAUAGUAGUGUUUGGCAUAUCUUUGGGAAAAGAUUUGAAAAGCUAAGUUAACGGUGGUACUAUUUACUUUAAGCAUAAAUGACAAAGAUUCUGAUUACUUGUUUUCAAGAAUGUAUUGGCUUUUAUGAUGUAGAGGAGCAAGGAUUUAGGAUUAGGUAACUAGGGAAUUGUGUUGUGCUUUAGACGCUCGGUAGCAGACUUUUUUUUAUCACCAAGCGAGUCUAGAUCCAUUACUAUAAUUAGUUUAUGCGUUUGAAGAGGUAUAAUUAGAAAUAGCUAUGUUAUUGAUGCAAUUUUCCAUGUUGCAAGGUAGCCAACUUACUAACUGGAUAGCCAAAGCCGAUCAAUCCUUCUGUUGCAACUAGUGAUAUUUAUAUAAUCAACAUUAUUGAGCUGGAAAAUGAAUUGUUAACUUUUUUUUUUUUUCCAGUCAGCAGUAUAAGAAUCUGUUUAGUUCUCCUUGAAUUAGUGGAUUAGGAAACUCCAUUCCUAGUCCUAUUGUGAGAUAUGGUAAUGAAUUUUCUUUCAAGCCAUGUUAACUUUUUUCCUUAGAAUUCUUCAUAUUCCCUUGUUUAUCUUUAGAAACAUUAUCUCGUGAAACUGGGCUAGUCGAGCUUUUCUACUUUUGCUGCAGUACCUUUCUACUGAUCCUAUCCCCCAACCUUCCGAAGAUUAACUCAUGAGCCGUUGGUGUCAAAAGAGGAGAUAUCAAUCCUUCUCUUCCUUACCCCCUCCCCCUCGAGCUAAGCUUCCUUCACUGACCCCAUUGGAUGAGCUGAGGCCUUUGGCUCUGAACGUGCAAUGUAGAUGCAACAAUUAUAGUUGUGGUAGAGAGUAUAUUUGCACUAGAUUGUGUAUGGUUAAUAGAGAUUGGGAUGGCCCCAAGAUAUGAUGUUCCAAGAAUUGCUUUCUCAUUGGUGCUAUUUUGCCCUUUUAUCUUUUGGUCUCUAAAUUUCUUGUUUAAUCUCUUUUUGUUUACGUUAUAUAAUGUUAUUUUUCCUUUCUUUUUCUUUAGUCUCAAGAUUACAUAAUUCAAUGUUCAAAACAUGUUUCUUUGCUUUUUUCGCCCCUAUAUUUUUUAUAUAAUUACCAUACUUCUCUUUAUGGUUUCUUGAAACGAAGAAAACAAAUAUGCAAGCGAUGCCAAACAAGUUUAUGAAAGUAUGAGACAAAUGGGACAAAACGGUUAAGUCAAAGAAAGAAGUGGCGGAAAAGCACAGCAUAAGCAGUGAAUCCCUAGCUUUUUCGCAUUAGGAUGUUGUUGAUUGUUUUGUGACAUGUAAAUUUUACUAGUCAGAGACCUUAAAAGGAAUAAUGUUUCAUCUGCAGGAGAAGUUCCAAGAUUAUCUGAUCCGUGAGGGUGAGCGGCUCCGGCAGCAGGAUAGGGCCAUGAUGGCUAAAACUAGCAAAGCCUAAAUGAGUCCAUAAGAAGGCGAUUCGGCCAUGACUAUGCCCUUGUUUUAUUUGAACCACUUGGCAUGGUGGGAAUCAGUCUUGUACGUUCAUGUUAAUAAUCGUCGCUUCGGUGACUCUUAAAUCUGUUUGCUUUGUUACUUUGCUUGCAAACUAGUCGCUAUUGAAUGCCAAAUAUGGAUUUUUCAUAUGCUUAUGACAAAUCUGAGUAUGAUUCUACUUAAUUCAGCUCAUCUCCGCAUUCAUCCCAAUUUAGGUCUAAAAUUGUGCAGGUACAGUUAAUUUAGUUAACCAUAGGUUAAAGUCCUAAUGUUUUCAGAUAUGUUCCUGCUGUUAGAAUCUGUGAGAAAAAUUUAGUUAGCUAUAGGUUAAAUACUUUGCCCUAGUUAAUUUUUGACAUUUUUACACCUCUUAUAUUAUACUGUUAUAAUAUUUGGAGGGGUAUAUUUGUGAUGGCAAAAUUGAAAAUAUAAACAGUUUUUAAACGGUUCUCUAACGGUAACAAACCAGAGGGGCAUAUUUGAAAAUUUUAGGAUUUUUGUAAGAAUAAUUUAUGAAAGUUGAAUUUGAUAGGAAUAUAUUUGUAAUUCACUAUAUUUGUAGAAACUUAUAUGCAAUUAACCUCCUUUUUUUUUUUAACUAGACUUCUGAAAAGAUUUUGUCAACCAUUGGAUGUACAUCUCUGUACGGAUAGUAUAUUUCAAUCACAAUCAUAUUAAGACGUAGUAAUGUAGUGGCUAAAAGCAUUAUUUUUAUACUAUAAAAGGCUUAACAGUUCAAAAUCGAUUAUAUUCUUUUCUUUUUGUUGCUUUUAAAAAUAGACAUACUUUUUUGGUGGCAAUUGCAAUCUUUAUUUAAGAUUGCAACUAUUUUUCAAAUUUUUAGGCCUUCUAUAACAUAAAAAAUAGUAUCUUUAGUCAGCAUAAGUUUUAGUAAUUCGAGAACAUCUCUCGUGCUUUCGAAAGUACAGAGGUUUCCGUACUUGUAAGUUGUUUUCGAUGAUAGGACAUCCGAUUUGACGAUCGGCUCCGCAAUGCAUAAUCUAUACUAUUGGAACUAUUUAGAAACCAAAUUUUAUAAUUUUUCGACAUUAUUUACCAAGCGAUCACAGGGUCUCAAAAAUGACUAUUUUAACGACCGAUGUGGUACGUUUUUAAGUUCAAAGGUGUAGAAAUAUCUAAAUUACAUGAAACUUUAAUAGAAAAUUCUAAACAAUCUUCCGAUUUGAAAUUUGAAUCAUUUAUCACUAUUUUUUAUGAGAUUUUUAUUAUCAGCCGUUCAUUUUGAGGCUACUCGUUCACUAGGCAAAUAAAGUCAAAAAAUUAUGAAAUUUGGUUUCUAGAUAGUUCCAAUAGCGUAGAUCAUGUUUAACGGAACCGAUCACCGAAUCGGACGUCGCAUCAUUGAAAAUAAUUUACAAGCACGGACGCCUCCGUACUUUCAAAAGCAUAGGAGCCUAGCUCUUAGAAAUUCUACAUUUCGAAAAGUGCUCCUUGUGGAAUUUUUUGUUCAUUGGGUUCACCCAUUCACUCAAUGCAUCGAGGUUGGGUUGAGCUUAUUUUGACUAAAGCAGCAAUUUGGGUCAACCUAUUUUACUUGGAAAUUAAGUUCGAUCGAUCGAGCUUCCUUCACCACAAUCGAGUCAAAUCAGACUAGUCAACACCUUGUGGCCUUUUUUCCCAACUUCUAAUCAACCUAAAACGAACUGAUCAAUAUUAUUAAUUUAUUGUUCUCUAUUAAUCUAAUAUUAUUAUUACCAUAAUUUAUCUAGAAGGGUAAAGAAAAAAAGCUUAAACAAAACAAAUGGCUAAAGUAUAGAAAACCUCUUUGAAUAUAUUGGUAUUUUCAAUAAAGAUGAUCACUUAACAUCUCUUCCUUUUUCUGGUAAUACCUGUAGCAUAUUAAAUAUAAAAAUAUAUAAACACCGUUCUUUAAUAGUUUAAAUUUUUAGAGUACAACGGUUGUUUCAUGAAACCCUAGAUCUCAAACAAUCAUUAUAUUUUAAACGCUUAAGCUAUUAGAGGGUGGUCUUUAUAUAUUUUUAUAUUUAACACAGCACAUUCAAUAUUCUCCACUUUGCGAAUAACAUGUAGCUAAAUUUUUUUUUUUUAAAAAAAAGUUAUAACUCAGCAUGUCUGAAUACUAAUUUUCCUACCAUACAAGACAUAUAAUUAUCAUCAUCAUUAUUGGAUGAUAUUUUAGAAUUAUUUAGUAUUUUACGAUAAGAAACUUUUCUCAAUCAUAAAUUCUUUUUAUAAUUGAAAAAGAAGAAGAAGAAGACUCAACUUAGAGACUAAGAAAGGUAUACUUAUCAUCAAUGUACUAUUAUUUUUUUAAUUAGACUUUUUCGUUGCGUUGUUUUUUUUAUGACAUAGUGAUGAUCAUUUAGCAUGUUACUAGUAACUAUAAACAACGGUCAAUGCUAAGCUUGGGUCGAAAUUUCGCAUGCGACUCGUAGACGAUGUGUUUGUUUGCUUCCUCUAAUUUUCUCCAUCCAGAAUUUGAAUUUUCGUCCGAGCCAACUGCAGGUUUGAGCAUCUGCUGUCGUCGGGCUGCAUGGGAUAAUGCAGCUGACGCAGGUGCAGAAAUUUAUGCUAACUGCAGAGAAAAUUCCAUCCCCAAUUGCCGACUGGAAUAUUUUGGGAUGACAAUUUUCUCCGCCGAUUCUGACAUCCACAGAAAUUUGCUCUGGAUGGGGCUGGACUUGCAGGUAAUAGGGCAGGAACAGGGAUAUUACUUUUCGUCCUGCAAAAAUUUCGAUUCUCUAAAAUAAUAUAAUAUAAUAAUAAUAAUAAUAUGAGUGGGCUGGUAUGCUUAUGGAAGCACAUAGCCCUCCGUGCUUCCAAGUUGUUUUCAAUGUUCGGACUUUCGAAUCGACGAUCGGCUCCGUUAGAAUUGAUCUAUAGUAUUUGAAGUACCUAGAAAAUAAAUUUUGUGAUUUUUCGAUUUCAUUUGCCUAGUGAUCAAAGUGGCUCAAAAUCAAUAAUUUUAACGGCCGUUGUGAGCCGGUUGCAAGUUUAACGAUGUAGAAAUAUUCAAAUCAUAUGAAAUUUUGAUAGAAAAUUCUUUAUACUAUAUAAAAUAAGAUCAAUAACUUUGAUCUAAAAUUUUAAUGUCAUAUCAUCAUAUUUUGUAAGAUUUUUAUUUUCAGCCGUUGAUUUGAGCCACUUCGAUCACUAGGCAAAUGAUAUUGAAAAAUCGCAAAAUUUAUUUUCUAGAUACUUCAAAUACUCUAGAUCAAGUCUAACGGAGCCGAUCGUCGAUUCGAAAGUCCAAACAUCGAAAACAAAGUGGAAGCACGGAGCCCAUAAGCAUCCUAGCCGCACUCUAAUAAUAAUAUGAAUUGAAAUAGAAUAUAUCUAAAAGUACUGAAUCUAUUAGUGCUUUAAGAUUUCUAACCCUUAGACGAAGGUAUUGUAGGGUUAGAAUGAUAGUAAUCCAUUUGGGUUGAGUAGUGGUAGAUGGAAUAGUAUUUGAUUCAAAUGUCACUAAUAGUCAAAGAAUAAAUCUAAAGACUAAAAACCUAAAAGUACCAAUGGCUCAGUGCUUUUAGAUGUAUUCUAGCUUAACUCAUAAUAAUAUUAUGAGUUGAGCUGAAAUGCUAUUAGUAGCAAACGGGCUCUGUUGCCAUCCAUUUGUUUUCGAUAAUGGAGCUUACAAAUUGACGAUUGGCACCGUUAAACAUGAUCUAUACCACCAUGUGAAGUAUUUAGAAAUCAAAAUUUAAAUAUUUUCGACUUUAGUGGCCUAAUGAUCAAAAGAUUUUAAAUUUUGUAAUUUUAAUUGUCGAUAUGAGACGUUUUCUAGUUUAACGGCGUAAAGAUAUCCAAAUCAAUUGAAUUUUAGUUGGAAAGUUUUUUAAACUAUUUAGAACAAGAUCUUGAUCUUGAUUACAAGAUUCCUAUCAUCACUUUUUAAAAAAAAUUUAUUUUCAGCCGUUCAUUUUUGUGUCCACUUGAUGGAUAAGAGAAUAAUGUUAGAAAAGUAUGAAAUGUGGUUUCUAGAUGCUUCAAGUUGUAUAGAUCAUAUUCAAUAGUGUCGAUCGUUGAUUCGGAGACUCCAUCACCGAAAAUAAAUGGGUGGCAACGAAGCUCGUUUGUUACUUAUAGCUUUCUAGCUCACCACAUAAUAUUAUAUAGUUCUUAGUUAUUUAUAAUCUAAUUAAAUAUUUGAUUAAUGUAUAUUUUUAUUAAUUUAAUUUGUCAUACUUGAUACUUGAUAAUUUGACAACAAGGCCCUGUUUGGAUGCAUAGUUAAAAAACUCCAUAGAAUUUUUAUUCUAUAGUUUUGGCCUAAAUGAAAUACGGAAUCCUGUAACUACAAAAAUAUUCCACAGCUUCAUUUUUAAGAUGUUUGGAUACAGAUCAUACAAUUCCACAGUAUUUAUAACAAUUAAAUUUCUAAAAUUUUAAAAUUCAAAAUUCAAAACAAAUUCAAAUUUUCAAAUUCAAUUUUAAUAAAUAAAAUUCAAAAUUCAAAAUUAUAAAUUAAAAUUAAAAUUAAAAUUUAAAAAUUUAAAUUAGUUUAUGUCUUAAUUUGAAAUUGAAAUUUGGAAUUUUGAAAUUUAAAAUUUGAAAUUGAAACUUUAAAUUUUAAAAUUUAAAGUAUACCAUUUAAAUUUAAAAUUUGAAAAUUAAAAAAUCUAUAAUUAAAAUUUUAAAUUUUAAUUUAAUAAUUUAUAAUAUUUAAAAAAUUAAAAUUUAAAAUUUAAGUUUAAAUUUAAAUUUUGAAAUUGAAAAUUUAAAAUUAAAUUAAAAUUAUAAAUUUGAAAUUUGAAAUUUGAAAUUUGAACUUUUUGAAAUCUGAAAUUUGAAAUUUGAAAUUUGAACUUUUUGAAAUUUGAAAUUUGAAAUUUGAAAUUUAAAAGUUGAAAUUUGAAAUUUGAAAUUUGAAAUUUGAACUUUUUGAAAUUUAAAAUUUGAAAUUUGAAAAUUGAAAUCAAAAUUAAAAUGAAAUUUAAAAUUUUAAAAAUUUGAAAUUUAAAAUUUUAUGUUGAAAUUUAAAAUUUAGAAAUUAAUACAUCUUUGGGAGCCCAAAAUGGUGUAAUUUUUUUCCUUUGGUUAAAGUGGAUUGUAGGUUUACUCCAUUUUUUGAAGUAUAGUAUAACUAUACUUCAAAAAUUAUGUUAUUUUCUUUUCUUCCAAACACUUCAUAGGAUUAUUUUCCUACCGGCGUAGCAUAGUUUAACUAUGCUACGUUUUUAGAGGUAUCCAAACGGGGCCUAAAUAAAAUUGAUAUCCGAACCCGAAUCAAUGGGUUUCCGUCUUUUACACCCGUAUUCGAAAUUAUAUAUAUUUAGCAUUAGAUAAAUAAACUCCGUUUAGAUUUGAAUUCGGAUAAAAUUUAUAGUAUUUGUACUCGUUGACAUCCCCAUCCCUGCAACGUCCCGCACCGUUGCCAUCCCUAACGACAUUGGCUGGUCAACAGAUUGCAUUGCAAUACUUACACACGAAGGAUACAUACUUAGCAGACUAUAUCUUUAUAUCUAUUCAAGAUCAUUGAAGACUGUCAAGAAGCUUAAUUAAUGGAUUGCCAGGCUGUACAUCUUGGCAAGAAAAUAAGCCCAUAAUUUACUGACUUCCAAGCCCAUAAUUUACCUAAGUUGGCAAGUAGACUUGAACAAGGAUCCAUGCUUACUAGAACUCCUCAGUACCAGAAUUGUUCUGAACUACUUUUUUUUUUAGGGGCAAUUGCUUAUAUACCUCUGAAAAGUAUCUGACUUUUCGAUUUACCCCUCUUAGAAGACUAAUAUUGAAAAUACUCCUCCUACGUUCCAACCUAUUUCUAAUAUACCCCUAAAGUUAAAAUCUGUUAAUUAACUCUGUUAUCUCUGUAAAAUUACUAUUUUGCCCUUUCAAAUAUACCCUUCCACAAUCACUUUCUUUCUUAUUUGCCUUUAAAGUCAAGGGUAUAAAAAGUAUUUUGACUUUUGGUCUUUUCCAAUAUACCUCUCUACCGUCACUAACCUUUUUUAUUUGCCCUUAAGUUAAGGGCAAAAUUAGCAUUUUAAUUUUUUUAACUGUGGUAGAUAUUUAACUCACGUUUAACCCAGGUUAACUUAACAGGAAAUAACUGCGGAGGUAUUUUGCAAUAACGGUGAAACAUAUGAGGAGUAUUUUAGAAAAAAAAAAAUAGACGUAAAUCGGAUAUUUCCAAACGUAUGAGGAGUAUAUAGGCAAUUAUCCCUUUUUUUUUAUAGGAACAAAGAUGCAUGUUGACUGGAACUCAGUUCCAGAAUUGUUCUGAACUACUUUAAAUACCACCUUUAUAAUUUUAUAUUUUUUCACUUUAGUAUCAUAUAAUUUAAAAUGUAUUACUUUAGUACUUAUAUUUUUUUUUUUUUUCUCUUUCUAUUAUUCUCUCUGUUAAUUCUUUCGUUAAAAGAGUAGCUCUAAACGAUACAUCCCUUCCCUUGGCACUUUCCCCGUUUUACUCUGAUCACAGAAGGAGCUCUUUGCCUGUUAGCAAUUGAAUCAGAAUAAGUUUUUGGAGUGAUAAAAUUAAAACCGCAAGAUACUAAAGUAAAAAUUCAGUAAAUUACAUGAUAGUAAAGUGAAAUAUUCGAUAAAUCAGAGGUGGGGUAUCUGAAAUUUUUUUGUAUAUAAUUUAAGAAAAAAUUAACGGCUUGAAAUCAUAGAGUACUAAAAUGAGUAAGGAUGAAACCACAUGGGUGCUAUUUGAAGUUUACUCUUUCUAAUACAAAUGAUAGCAAAAUGAUAGUUAUUUAAUUAGUCUAUGGACAAUUUCUUCGGUGGAAAAAAAGGUUUAAUAUUCUACUUGACUUUAUUAACCUACGUAUUCAACUUAAAUAUGUCUUAUAAAAACGUGGGAAUUAAAAAAUUAGUUUAUUUGAUGUUGAACCUAAAAAAAUUCUGCUUGACUUUACAGUUUAAGCUGUUUUGUAUAAACUCCAUUAAUUUUGCGUCACCGUGUAUUACAUCAAUGGCUGACAUUUUAGUACUUAAAUUUUAAUUUACUAUAAUAAUUUUUAUUUAAAAUUUUUAAAUUAUUAUAAUCAAGUCUUAUAAUUUAAUUUAGUUAGCUAAAUAUUAAAAAAUUAUUAAUAUAGAAGUAAUAUAAUAUUUCAAUUAUUAUUGCAUUAUGAAUCAUAAUAUGUUUACAUUAUUUUUAUAUAAAUAAUUUGUCAAUAUUUAGUCAACUAAUUUAAAAAGUUUGAGCUAAAACUUAUAACAAAUUAAAGUUUGAGAACCAAAUUAAGCAUCAUGUUCCUUACAGUUUGAGAAACCAAAUAUGCAAUUUACGUACCCAUGGUUUAUGCAAAAAUAUAACCUUUUUUUUUUAAUAAAAGAACAUUUAUAUCUUUUGAAAGAAAAAAAGAAAUUUUAUCAUAAAUUGAAAAGCCAUAUUACUUUAGUCGUAAGGUGUACCAAAAAAAGUAGCAAAAAGUUUGAGAGUUGUUCGCAAAAACUUUAGAACUUUAGCUCUUUUAUAAAUAGGCAUUUUGAAAUUUUAAAUUUUGGCGAUUAAAUUUCGUAAAUUUUAUCAAAUAAUUUAAUAGUCUCUCUCUUCAAUCUAACUUAUAAUCAAGUGUAAAACUGUUUUAAUCAUGUGCGUAUAGUCUUAUAAGAGUUUAAAGAUAUUUAAACAUGUAUCUUUUUUAUUCCAAAUUUAAUAAUCAAGCAUGAGAAUUGAGGAAUAGGAUUAACCUAUCUUAAAUUUUUGUUUCUUUUUUUCUUAUAUAUAAUAAAAUAGAAGAAAUAAAUUUAUUUGUGUUUUGAAGCUUAAAUGCAAAACAUAGGGCAUUAAAAAACAAAAAAAGUUUCUAGCUAGAGAUCAAAUAUAUAUAGAAUGAAAGGCAAAUAUAAAGCAUUAAAAAAAUAAUUAAUAAAUACAAUUGCUAAAAAAUAUUACAUGAAAAAUAAACAUGUACAAUUUUGAUGCAUCCAUGGCAUAAUUAGUGAUAUUGUAAAAUACAUCAUUUUUUAUAUAUGUCAUCAAAUAGUUAUUCAUUAAUUGAUCAUAAAUUUAAAAAAAUUAAAUUUACAAUUACUAAAAAGUAAACAGAAUAAGUGAUGCACAUAUCUUAAGCAAUUAAAAAAAAUUAUGUAUGAAGUGUCUUGAUGCACACCAAAGUAAGGUUAGAUUUGGGAUUGGGGGCCUUAAUAACUUUAUAAUUAGAUGAUAAAGGGAGAGAUUAAGAGAAAAAUAAUGUGGAUAUAUAGGUUUGAAAGAAGAAAAGGAAUGAGAUUAUUAUUUUUAUAAAAUAAAUUAUUAACUCCGGUCUACUGUCACAUAUUAAUUUUACCUUAAUUCAAUAAUUUGUUAUGUAUUUUUUUUAAUACUAAAAUUUUUUUAAAAAAAAUUAAAUUUUGAAAAAAAAAUUACAAUUCUUAGACAGAAAUAAAAGUGACACGUGGUAAUAGAUUAGGGAUCCCAAAUGUGGCAUCAUUGGGGAGCUCUCCGCUAAAUUUUUUUUUUUUCCUUAAUUGACCUCUGGACACACAAUAGGUAAAAUUUAAAAAACUUAAUUGCUAAAAUUAAAAAUUUUGGCUUCUUUUUUAUUAUUGUCUUUCUUUUUAUUUUUUUAAAGACUAAUUUUACAUAAUUUAAUUUGUCUGAGUACAAGCAUUUUACAUAAGGCUAAGUAAUAAAUAAUAAUUUGUUAAAAAAUAAAAAAUAAUAAUUUUAAGUUCUUUUUUAAUGUUGUCAAGUAAAAGUCUUAAAUGGAAGGAUGAUGCUAACUAUUAAUCUCAAAAGUUCGAGAUAUUAAAAAAACACAAUGAUUUAUUUAAAGUGUACAAACAAAAUAUCUACUGAUCUGGAUUGUGCCUCGGCCCAACAAAAUAUAGCGCUAAAAUAUCUCUUUAGAAACGAGUUAUAAUUGGGGAGCUCUUUCUGUAAUGGAUAAAAUUUUAGUGGAAUACUUCCCAGUAACACCUCGCUUGUUGGGAAGCAUCUGAUCCACUGACAAGUCUUAAUUUUGCAUCUAUCCAUUGGCUAGCUCAUCGAAUAUUUUUUAUAUUGAAAUCUAAAAAUUUUAAAUUAAAAAAAAAAGAUAAUGAGGUAUUAAGGUUUAGUUUGUUAUUGAGAUGGAUCUAACGUUAGUAGAUAGAAUGGAGUUGAGAAAAAACAUAUAGGAAUAUGAUUCUACGUUCUCCGAUAGAACCGCAUAAAAUAUAUCGUAACCGACUAAUCGUAAUAUGCGGAACGCAAUAUUACGUACGAAAAUAAAUAAAGUAUAUUUUCAUCGUCCUUUCUCACCGCACAUAACGCAAUCUCCUUUAUCGCCCUUUCUCACUGUUCAUAACGCAAUCUCCCCGCAAUUUCAAAUGAAAUCUAAGAUUCCGUGUAGGAGACGUGGUUAGGAGGAAUUCUAUACUGUCACACUUGCACCACGUCAUUAAUAACAAGCCAAUCACAUUCUUUCUUUUCAAAUAAAAAUACAAUAAAAAUAUUUUUUUAAAAUCAUGAUGGGACAUAUAUUCCUAAAAAAAAAUUAAUUAGUUUAUUAUGUCACAUCAUUAAUAUAUUCUUUGCAUUCUAGGAUUUUUCGUGGUUCAGAGCUCUCUCUUUUUCAUGUACAUUUUUUUCCAAAAGAAAAAGGGAAAAGUUUAAUCGAGACAGAUUCGUACGAGAGAAUUUGAAGCCGAGAAGAGUGCCACGUGGCAGUGGGCGGCGCGCGCGGAUUAGUCCGUACACGGUCGGCGACGUACUUUGCGGUGGGCCCCGCGUUCUAGAAACGCAGGCUAAUUACGCCACGCACACCAAAUUUGAUCUAAAAAUGAUUAAUACGUUUUUUUUGGGUUACGGAGGAACGCGACAGCACUACUUUAAAAUUAAUUAUAUAAAAAAAAUUAUAUUUUAAUUUUUAAUUUAUUUACUGCCACAUCACAAAUGUAAUAUUCAAUACCAAAAUAAAUAAGUAAAUUAUACUUUUAUCAUACUUUUGUGAUAUGUAAUGCAAUUCUGUCUCAAAAAUAAAGUCUAACAGUGUGUGUGUGUAUGCACCAAUAAUUUAGUACUUUUAAAAAUAUACAAGCUCAAUUAUAUAUAUAUUUUUUGUCAUUGAAUUAAGGAAUGUGCGGUUAUGAUGAUGUAGAACUCUUAGGGUUGAGUGGGUGUUGGUUAAAUAGUAUGAUCUAAUGAAUAAAAAUGAUCAAAAGAGUAGAUUUAACGGUAAACAAUUUACAAGCACCAAAUACUUGGUGUUUGUAAAUAUAAAAAGCACCGAGCACUUGAUGCUUGUAAAUUUUUUACCGUUAGAUCUAUUUUUUGAUCAUUUCCACCCAUUAGAUCAUAUUAUUCAAUCGAACGAGUAAAUAAAACAAAAAUAAAAUAAAAUAAAAUAAAAAAUAUUGUAUGUUGUGUAACCCGUUCAACUCUUCUAAAGCAUUUUUUAACCCCUUUUUUUAAUUUUUCGGAAAAAAAAAGUUGUUAAUUACCCCUAUGAAUUUUGUGUAAUUGGUGAGAGGAAUGCAUGCAUUUAUUUUUUCACAAAUAUUUUUUUUUCGUAGGCUCUCAUAAUUUUAAAAAUUAUUUAAUAUGUUAGAACCAAAUUAUUUCUUCGGCGGCAAAAAAUAAAUGUAUUUUUAUUUUUUAUUUACAAAAUUUUUUAAACAAAUUAUCAUUUUUUAUUAAGUCAGAAUGCACUGUAUUUAAACGGAAAAAAAACUAAGUGCAUCCAAACAGUCAGAUUUUUUAAAAUUUUUGCGCAUAAUAUUUUUAUUAUGGGUGAUUAUUUAUGAUGAACUCAUAUUAUUUAGAAUAUCUUUAUAUUAUUUUUUAAGUUGGGAAAGUGAUCUAAAAUUGUAUUGAAGUGUAGAUGGUCUCGGACAAAAAUUUUAUGGGCACAGUUCUCAAACAACUUGUUUGGGGACGAUGACGGUGGGCGCCGUGUGGUGUGCGGGUGUCCAUCACGACCCUAAAAAAUAAAAAUAAACAAAAUUUGUCGGCUCCCAUUGUUUAGAGAGAGAAAGAAGCAGGUGAGAGAAAGGGACGGUCGCGAUGGGCGCCCGCACACUACGCAACGCCCAUUUCACGAUCGCAUACCACGCGGCGCUCAUCUGCUCCGUCUCCAAACAAUUUGUUUGGGGACGGGUGCCCACAAAAUUUUUGUGCGGUGGCCUCACACCUUUAAUCAUUUAUCCUUUUGAUUUAUCAUGUUUUAUUAAAUUACGUAUCUAAAAUUUUUGUGCUCGAGGUGAUCGCAUACGAAACUCGUGUAAAUAAGGAGGCCCGCCUUUCACGUCAAUCGUACAACACCAAACACUGCUCAUAUCCGUAGGAAUCCAACACGUGUACAAUAAUUUGUGGUAGGUGUAACGGUGAAAAUGGUACGGAUAAUUUCGGAUUCAAUAUGAUGCUGAUCGAUGAUAAAAUUUAGUAUUCCACUCAUAUUUGUAUUUGAAUUCAUAUUCAAAAAAAAUAAGUUAAAUAUAAAUUAAAUAUAAUUUUUUAAAAAAUUCGAAUGCAAUCGACCAAUUCAUCCUCAGGAGAUAAAAGAAAUAUUAGUAUAUAUUAUAGAGAGAUAAAAUGAUUCUUUAUCUUUUUUUCUUCGUUUACUUUAUUAUGAGUUUUAUAUUAAAGUUGCAUUUAUAUUCGUCAAAUAUUAAAUUUUAUUAAAUAAAUAUAGGUAUACAAAGUUUGAACUUGAAUGUGAACCUUUAAAUGCAUUGUGCGUCUAAUCCGUACUAAUUUCAUUUCAUAUCGAUUUAUGCAUAUAAGUGUGUAUUAUUAUCUGAAUACAAAUUCGAGCCAUAUCUGAAUACGAAUAUGUUUUUAGUAGGCAUAGUAAUGAAAAUUUGACAUCCAACACAUAUCAGCAUCCGAAUUCGCAUCUAUAAAGUAUGGAUGUGAAUAUGGUUUUGUCAAAAAAUUUGACCGUAUUCAAUUGUUUUCAUCCCCAGGUGGGUGAUCCUUUACUUAUCAAUCUUUUAGUUUAUUAUAAACUUUAAUUUAAAAUUUAUUGAUUGUUGUAAUUAAGUUCUAUGGUAUAAUAUAAUUGGUUGAAUGAUAAUAUAUUAUUGAUGUGGCAAUGAUGCGACAUAUUAGUUAUUAUAUCAUUAUCACAUCAGCGGUACAUCACUAUCUAUCUAGCCAACUAAAUUAUAUUGUAUAAUUUAAUUACAGUGAUUUAUAAAAUUUAAAUUAGAAAUUGUAAUAAAUUAAAGUUUGAAAAUCAAAAUAUCACAUAUCGCUUAGUUUGCAAACGAAUAGUGUAAAUUUAGCGUUUACAUAAUUGGCACUCUUUUAUCUUAUAAUUUUUAACUAAAUUUGUAUGGUUAAUUAAUUUAAAUAUUUUAUUAAAUUUUGUAGCUCAAUUAUCUAUUGAACAUAAUUAAUCUCCUUUUACCCACUAUAAAGUAGUUUAUUAAGGUCUUGUUUGGCAGCAUUAAUUAUUAUUAUUUUUUGUAUAAAUAUAAUUCAUGCAUGAAAUAAUAAAGAAGAAGACAAUUGAUUGUUUGCCCUCAUUUCAUUCAAAAUAUUUGUUAACAAUAAAAAGUAAAAUUUUGAAGGCAAUUUUUCCUCUUAAAACUUUUUAAAUAAUAAGUUAUCAUUCAUCAUUUGAUCAAAAUGUAUUAGCAUGCUAACCAAUAACAACAACAAGUGAGAUUUUUUUUUUUUUUUUUCAGUUGAUAAUCAAAUUAUAUAUACUAACAAAAUAAAAAAUUACCUUAUAUUUUAUUAUAGCUAGAGUGAACAUCUUACACCCUAUUAUUCUUCUACUAGGAUAUGAAAAACUAUUUUUCGAAAUUUUGUACUUAAAAAAAUAAUAUGACAAGUAAAAAAAAUCUUAGCCUUUUUAAAGGCUAAGGUAAAAGUUUUACAAAUACUAUAGAUGUUCAUGUAGCAUUGCUCUUUAUAAUUAUAAAUGAAAUUGCUAAAGUUUCUAAUUUAUUAAAUAAAAAUUAUUGGGUCAAUUUCAUUUGUGUCCCUCUAAACUUCAAAAAUAUCAUAGAUGCCCCUAUAAAUUUGAUUACAUCACAAAUAGCCCUACAAAUACUUACUAUUUUUCAAAUAUGUCCUUAUCCUUACUAUUCAUCUUUUUAUAGAAUGAUAAAAUAUUUAGAUUAUUAUAAAUAUGGUCGAAAUGUCCAUUUUGUCCUUAACUUCUAAAAUUUUUUACAAAAAUAUUUAGCAUGAUAAUAUUUAUUUUAAAAUAUUAAAAUAAAGAGUAAUAUAUAUUAUUUUACCACUGUGUGGUUUGUAAAAUAAGAUACUUUACAUCAUUUAUUUUAAAAUUCUAGAUGCUAAAGCACAGAAAUUUGUGCUAGUUCAAAUAACUUAAUUUACAUCAUGCAUAUAUAUUUAAAUUAUAUUUUGAAUGAGCUGUUUAACCUUAUUUUAAUGAGUCAAUUGAUAUUUUAAAUAAUUUUUUGCUAAAUUUUUUUCAAAUUUUUUUAUUUUUUUAGCUUAACUUGUCAGGAUUAUAUAUAUAUAUAUAUAUAUAUAUAUNGUUAUUAAAAAAUUGAUAAUAAAUUAGUGUAAAGGUUAGUUUUGAAAGUUUCUCUCUUUUAAAAGAUUAUUUAUGAUAUUUUAAUUUUUAUAGGGGCAUUCAUGAUAUUAGAUUUAUUUGGAAGGGUAGUAAUGAAAUUUUUCCAAAAUUAUUUGGUUUUAAACAGAAGUCUAUACAAUUGGUGUAAAUCUUGCAGUAGUCUUGAGCUUUAAAUCUUGAGGUACUCUUGAGGUUUCUAUGUCUCACAUUUGCUUAUUUGUUUUAUCAAUUUAAUUUUAUAUUAAAAAUUUAAGAAAAAAUUUUAAAUGUUAAAAUGUAUAAAACUUAUUUCAACUAUCAUUUAUUUUGAUCUAACUAUCUUAUUUUAAAAAUUUUAAUUUUACUACAUAAACCCUUUAAUUAAUUUUUAUUUGGGCUUGUUGGUUAUUGUUUAACUUCAAAAUUUGAAUUCGCCGUUUAUCUUUAUGGAUUUAGUUAGUACAUUAUAUAUAAUUCAUAUAAUAAUAAAUUUAUUAAAGUAAAUUAUUAAUUUACAUUUUGUAUUCAAAAUAUUAUCAAAUUAAAUAAAUUAAAAAAAUAGAUAUUAAAAAUAAAAUUUUAAAAUAUUGGCUACUCAAAUUAAAAUAGUCUGUAGAGAGAGAGAGAGAGAGAGUUGAGCUGAAAUGUCAUUAAUAGCAAACGGGUUCGUUGCUACUCAUUUGUUUUCGAUGAUAGAGCCUCCAAAUCAAUGAUCGGCAUCGUUAAACAUGAUUUAUACCACCUGAAUCAUCUAGAAAUUAAAUUUUAUAUUUUUUCGAUAUUAUUUUCUUAUCCAUCAGGUUGACAAAAAAUAAACGGCUGAAAAUAAAUAUAUUUUAAAAAGUAAUAAUAAAAAUAUUUUAAUUGAGAUCAAGAGUAUAGAUCUUUGUUUUAAACAGCUUAAAGAAUUUUUUAACCAAAAUUCAAUUGAUUUGAAUAUCUUUACGCCGUUAAAUGAGAAAAUGUCUUAUAUUGACGAGUAAACUUACAAUUUUUGAUAUUAUUUGAUAAUUAGGUCAAUAAUGUCGAAAAAAUUUAAACUUUAGUUUUUAUAUGUUUCAAAUAGUAUAGAUUAUAUUCAACGGUGCCGAUCGUCAAUUUGGAAGCUCCAUCAUAAAAAAAUAAAUAGAUGACAAUAAAAUCCGUUUGCUACUGAUAACAUUUCAGCUCAACUUUCUGAUUCAAAAUCGUGGUAUAACAUGUAUCUCCCUUUGUUCCGGCCAUGGAAUAGAUGAAAUAAAUCAAAAAAUGGAUUCUUGUUCACAAUAAAAAAUAAACCCUAUCCCAUAGGUAUAGGGUUUGAUUCAAUAGAGAGCCUUUUCUUCUGUUAUAUAGUUGGUUCUCAUCCUUCAGAGAUUACGAGUGUAAUAGGAGCAUCUGUUGACAAAAGGAUCAUCCUAAGAUGAUCAUCUCAUGACUAUUGAGAACGAAUCAAAUCAGGUAGUUUUUUUUCUGUCCGAAAAAUUUAUCGAAAUAAUGAGUCGCCCCUUCCAUUGAUAUGAACAAAAUUGAGAUCAACAAAUGGUCGGGAGUAUUUUUAUAUAUAUAAAAUUUAGAAUUAUAAGUUAGUAAAAGAUGUGAACUUAAAAUAGAGUUAACGGCGGAGUUUUCAAAUUAGCCUGUGGUUGGAGAUAAAUUAAUUAGUGCAGUUAAGUAUGAAUGUGUGUCGGACACGUGGCAGCUUAAGAAGAGGAAUUUUGGACCCGCACGCCGAGGACCGGUGGGGCCCACCCCAGUGCGGGUAUACGUGGCCGUCCGAACGGUUUCGGUUGCUUGGGCAAGUUAAAAAAAAAAAAAAAAUCAAAUCCACUCGUGGUUCCACACUUUCUUACUUCAGUACUCUAUAAUUUAAAAUAUAUCAAAUUAGUAUUCUAUAAUUUUAUUUUUAUAUUUUCGUCAAUUUUUUUAUUAAUAUUUUGUUAAAUUAUAUACAAAAUUCUUCAGAUAUUCUAUUUAGGUUUACCGAAUAUUUACUUUAAUACCUUUUUUUAUUUUGAGAGAGAAAGGUAUCACGCUAUCUUCUUCAUUCAUUAAGAAAAUGAAAUUAGUUAUAUAAAGUAAGACAGCUAGGGCCUCAAGGAAGGGGGCUCGAUAAAAAUAAAAAUAAAAAUAAAAAUAAAGAUGAAAUUAAAAAUAAAAAUAAGAAAUAGCUUUCACCCUACUCUACAAGACUCGGCCCACUCUUUUGCAAACACUCUAAUAAUUCAGACGUCGCCCUGCUCUACAGGACUCGGCCCACUCUUUUGCCAACACUCCAAUAAGAUUAGCUGUUCGGGAAACGCCGCUGGGUAGAUUUCUGAAGAUGAUGUUAUUUUUAUCGCGCCAGACCAACCACCAAGUGGCCACAACCAAGGUCAGAGCCUUCGAAGCGUCGCACUGCGGGUGUCUCUCUAGUAGCCCCUCCCAGACGAUGUUGGUAUCUUCAAAACACGGGUAUCCGAGAUACUUUAAUAUCUUUUAGUUUUAACUUUGUCACUGAUGUAACGAAAAAAAUUAGUGGAAUCGAAUAAAAGAUAAAAAUAAAUCACAGAGCACUAAAUUGAUAUAUUUUAAACUAUAGGGUAAUAAAAUGAGAAAGUGUGAAACCACAAAAGUGGUAUUUGAAGUUUUUCCGAAAAAAAAGAUUGAGUGGGAAUUAUUGUACCAUUAUUAAGUGAAGUUAUCCGAUCAUUGCGAUGGGCUAAUACUAUAAGAGAAAAAAAAUUAAUAAAUUAAAAUCUUAAAAUUUUAAUUUAUUAUAAAAUAUUAAUAAAUAUAAAUUGUAGGAGAAAAAAAUAUAAAAAAAUUUUAUUUUAUUUGUUUUUUUAUAAAAAUGAUUUGUUUAGGCUAUAAUAAACUAUAUGAAGACAUUAAUUAAAAGAUGGGUAGGUGAGAAAAUAAAGUAUCGAACGGAGAUAAGGAUGGAAAGAUAAAUUAUCAAAAAGUGAGGAGAGGAGAAAAGAUAAGGAUGAAAAAAGAACUGUUAAAUGAUAAAUUUUAUAAAAAAUAAUAUAUAGAUAUGUGUAAAUAAUUCGUUUCUAAGUGUUAAUUUUUUUAAUUAUUUUUAAAAAUAAAGUUUUAAAAUUUUAGUAUUUAAAAAUAUUUAAUAAAAUUAUUAAAUGGAAAUAAAAUUAAUACUCAAUGGGCCCCGGAGCAAGACGUAAAUGAGCAGUCGUCAACGACGGCGUGGCAUCACCCGUUCACCACCACCAACCGCCUUAUCCGAGUCCGAUCGGACGGCGCACGAUGUUCGGACGCGGAUCGCCAACCCGCAAUGAUUAGCUCACGCCGUAAAAAAUAAUUAUUGUAGUAAUAUGUAUAUUUAUUUAUUAUAGCUAAAAAUGAAAAGGAGGUAAAAUUGUAGGUAAAAUGCUUUUUGGGUUCCUCCCACUUGUGGAUAAUGCUGUUAAUAUUAAUAAUAAAUAACUCUUUUUUUUUUGAUAUCGCUAAAAAAGAGGAAGAAAAAUUGGACCUGUACACUUUAUUCUGCAGUAUUAAUUAUUCUUCCAAAAAUUUAAAUUUAUUUAAAAAUAUCUUGCACCGAAAAAAAUUUAAGAAGAAACAUUCUGAUAUAGAAUUUGUAUUUUAUUGGCUCACCACCUAUUUUAGACGAUUAUUUGUUUAAAAGGAAUUAAUUUUCGAUUUCCAUUUCACUCUGGAAUGGAAAUGAGCAAAUUCAUUUAUGGCCAAAUCCAGUUUUGAAUUUCGGAUUUGCCCAUUUCAAUGUAAACUGCUCAAAAUUUUUUCUUACAUUUCACCUCCGCCUCCUCUCCUUUUACCACUCUCUUUUUUCUUAAUCAAAACUCUCUUUAAAAAAUAUUGGAUUCUUAUUCCGAUUUUCAUUCUAAUAAUGAAUCAGAUAUUUUUGAUGAUUCGUCAUUCUAUUUAUUAUUUCAAAGCAUUUAAAUUUUAUUUAUCAUUUCUAUUCUAAUCAUGAAUCAAACAUGCUCAUACGUAGGCAUAAAAUGAACCAAACAUGUUCUAUACGUACGUCUAAAACUAGUAUUACUCAAACUUGAGCAAUGUUAUUUGUAUUUACACCCCACCAAUUUAAAGGUCGAUAAUUUUUUACUAAUUUUAUUAAUUAUUUUUUUUUUUACUUCAAUACUAAUAGUUUUAUAAAUCUUCGACAAUUUUAAAAUUAUUUUAAACACAAAAAUAAUGCAUUUAGCCAUCGUAUUAUCAAUAUAAUUUUGAAAAAUGCUAUCUACAUCCUUAUUUAUAGGUAUAAAUCUUACAAUUCUUGUAUCUCAGGCUUCAUAAAAAUUCAAAUUGGUUUUAAUAAUAAUAAUAAUAAUAAUAAUAAUAAUAAUAAGAUAAGUAGGGAGUGAGAGUCCCAAUUUUUUACUCCUACUUAAUUCGAGAUUAAGAUGUAGUAAUACACCUGAAAGUGCACAAAAAGCAUUUACGUAAAGAUAUGUUCACAUUAGACUAAAAAAAAAUCUCUCAGUAACAUACAUGAGUCCUUCAAAAUUUGUUAUUUGCAUAGUGGUUUCUUAAAUCACAAUAAUAAUUUGUGCUCGCUAGUUCUUUCAUAAAGUUUUUGUAAUUUAACUGGAUUACAUAUUUUUUUAGCACUAAUUACCACUAUAAUUUUAUAGUAGAAAAAUAGAAUAAAAGGUGCUUUUGUAAACUAAGGCUUAAUAAGUUA
rnacentral:lncRNA from 1 species